rnacentral:misc_RNA from 1 species
GAUGAAGAACGUAGUGAAAUGCGAUAAGUAGUGUGAAUUGCAGAAUUCAGUGAAUCAUCGAAUCUUUGAACGCACAUUGCGCCCCUUGGUAUUCCAUGGGGCAUGCCUGUUCGAGCGUCAUUUGUACCUUCAAGCUUUGCUUGGUGUUGGGUGUUUGUCCUGAGGGACUCGCCUUAAAGUGAUUGGCAGCCAGUGUUUGGUUUUGAAGCGCAGCACAAGUCGCGAUUCAAAGCUAUACGCCCGCUUCCACAAGCCUUUUUCACUUUUGACCUCGGAUCAGGUAGGGAUACCCGCUGAACUUAAGCAUAUCAUAAGCGGAGGA